GUGGCACAGUGGUUAAGUGCUCAGCUGCUAACUGAAAGGUUGGUGGUUCAGAUCCACCC
rnacentral:tRNA from 1 species